rnacentral:lncRNA from 1 species
GUUUAUGGAACAUAACACCGGUAGCCGAAACUAAGGGGGCAAAGGUGGAACAAAACACCAGGCUAGAAAGGCCGAGCCUUCCACCUUUUACCAAGUAUAUAGGUGCAUUAAAUUAAAUAGCAUUAAAUAUGGUGAUAUAACAAGGAACCCAUGUCUUCACAUGGAAGCAUCUGCACCUGCAACUAGCAACGCUAACAAUAGGGUUAAGCAAGCAGUAACAUAGCCAAUCAGUGGUUUGCUAGGUUGAACAGGUUGAAGGUUUUCAUGGCAUUGUUGAGAGGCUGAUAUUUAACAUGUGGUAGGCAACGAGACAUAAUCGGUAGAAGCGAUAAAACUAGCAUGGCAAUGAUAGUAAUGGUAUCUGGGGAAAUG